GGUCAUAAAAGGACAAUAGAUAUGAUCCCUUAAAUCAUAUGAUUACAAUUUCGUAUGAAAAUUGCAUCGAAGGCCAUCAUCCAACUUUUGCAUUAUGAAUAGAGUUCAAAAUGCAUUUUUCGUGAAGGUCAUUUAGACAUCCAUCCCAUAGAACAUUUAAAAAACAAAGUAUAUCCAUCGAUUCCAACGGUCGGAUUUGGGGUUACUAGGGCCAUAUACGCCACCCCUUUUUCAAUUAAUGAAAAAAAGAUUCUAUCUCGAAGUUAUUAGGGUUUUGUAUUCCCUGUUAAAUUUUGAUUUAGAGAAUUGAAAUAUUUCAAGCAGAGGAUUGAAAAAUCUUGAAUAAUCAAGAAUGAGAAAAUUGGCAUCUCAUCAUCCUUCCC
rnacentral:lncRNA from 1 species